CGCCAGAUAGCUCAGUUGGUAGAGCACCUGACUAGAAAAUUCAGGGGGCCCGGGUUCGAAACCCGGUCUGGUCC
rnacentral:tRNA from 1 species